rnacentral:rRNA from 1 species
GACGAACGCUAGCGGCAUGCCUUACACAUGCAAGUCGAACGGCGUGGCGAACGGGUGAGUAAUGUAUAGGAACGUGCCCAUUAGCGGGGGAUAACUACGCGAAAGCGUAGCUAAUACCGCAUACUAUUGGAGCGGCCGAUAGCGGAUUAGCUAGAUGGUGGGGUAACGGCUCACCAAGGCGACGAGCCGUAGCCGGUUUGAGAGGACGACCAGCCACACUGGGACUGAGACACGGCCCAGACUCCUACGGGAGGCAGCAGUGGGGAAUAUUGGACAAUGGGCGAAAGCCUGAUCCAGCCAUCCCGCGUGUGCGAUGAAGGCCUUCGGGUUGUAAAGCACUUUUGGCAGGGAAGCGGUACCUACAGAAUAAGCACCGGCUAACUACGUGCCAGCAGCCGCGGUAAUUC